GCCCUGCUUCCAGGAAAAGCCUCUAAGCAUCAGGUAACAUCAAAUCGUACCCCAAACCGACACAGGUGGUCAGGUAGAGAAUACCAAGGCGCUUGAGAGAACUCGGGUGAAGGAACUAGGCAAAAUGGUGCCGUAACUUCGGGAGAAGGCACGCUGAUAUGUAGGUGAAGUCCCUCGCGGAUGGAGCUGAAAUCAGUCGAAGAUACCAGCUGGCUGCAACUGUUUAUUAAAAACACAGCACUGUGCAAACACGAAAGUGGACGUAUACGGUGUGACGCCUGCCCGGUGCCGGAAGGUUAAUUGAUGGGGUUAGCGCAAGCGAAGCUCUUGAUCGAAGCCCCGGUAAACGGCGGCCGUAACUAUAACGGUCCUAAGGUAGCGAAAUUCCUUGUCGGGUAAGUUCCGACCUGCACGAAUGGCGUAAUGAUGGCCAGGCUGUCUCCACCCGAGACUCAGUGAAAUUGAACUCGCUGUGAAGAUGCAGUGUACCCGCGGCAAGACGGAAAGACCCCGUGAACCUUUACUAUAGCUUGACACUGAACAUUGAGCCUUGAUGUGUAGGAUAGGUGGGAGGCUUUGAAGUGUGGACGCCAGUCUGCAUGGAGCCGACCUUGAAAUACCACCCUUUAAUGUUUGAUGUUCUAACGUUGACCCGUAAUCCGGGUUGCGGACAGUGUCUGGUGGGUAGUUUGACUGGGGCGGUCUCCUCCUAAAGAGUAACGGAGGAGCACGAAGGUUGGCUAAUCCUGGUCGGACAUCAGGAGGUUAGUGCAAUGGCAUAAGCCAGCUUGACUGCGAGCGUGACGGCGCGAGCAGGUGCGAAAGCAGGUCAUAGUGAUCCGGUGGUUCUGAAUGGAAGGGCCAUCGCUCAACGGAUAAAAGGUACUCCGGGGAUAACAGGCUGAUACCGCCCAAGAGUUCAUAUCGACGGCGGUGUUUGGCACCUCGAUGUCGGCUCAUCACAUCCUGGGGCUGAAGUAGGUCCCAAGGGUAUGGCUGUUCGCCAUUUAAAGUGGUACGCGAGCUGGGUUUAGAACGUCGUGAGACAGUUCGGUCCCUAUCUGCCGUGGGCGCUGGAGAACUGAGGGGGGCUGCUCCUAGUACGAGAGGACCGGAGUGGACGCAUCACUGGUGUUCGGGUUGUCAUGCCAAUGGCACUGCCCGGUAGCUAAAUGCGGAAGAGAUAAGUGCUGAAAGCAUCUAAGCACGAAACUUGCCCCGAGAUGAGUUCUCCCUGACUCCUUGAGAGUCCUGAAGGAACGUUGAAGACGACGACGUUGAUAGGCCGGGUGUGUAAGCGCAGCGAUGCGUUGAGCUAACCGGUACUAAUGAACCGUGAGGCUUAACCUU
rnacentral:rRNA from 1 species